ACGGAAUUCUGAAAUUACCAGUUAUUCAUUGGGAAACUGCCUAUAUCAAUAGCUGGCUAAACAUAUCCAUAUAUUCUGAAUAAAGGUGUUGGAUAAAUUCUUCUACUUCCAUAUUCAGACUUAUAAACCAAUAAGAUAAUGAUUGGAGAGCUAGAGAUUGAAAAUCUUUAUGGUGAUUUAGUUACCUAUAACGCAUACAAUCUACAAUCAAAGCACAUUUAUCACUUUAAAUACGCUAUUGUAGAAAUAAAUAAGAAUCAAAUUUUACCUUGGAUGCGAUGUACCACUAUCAAGAAAUUUCUCCGGAAGCCACGUAUCUCUUUUUAACGUGGAUGAAUUGAGACAUUUUCCUGCCAAAAGAGACAGAUAAUCAACAGAAAUAAUCAAAUGCCCGCAAUGAAUUUUGAACCCAUAUGUUACAGUUUAAUUUCCCAUUUUCAAAGUACCCAACCAGGCAAAAGGUCAAGAGUUUUAAGGGGAAGCGACCGUUGAUACCAUUGACGCCUAUAUUUGACUAGUAUUUUAUUCUACCCAACGUCGACGAAUGAAAGAUAAAGUUAAUCUCAGCGGGAUUUGACCUCAAAACAUAAAGAAUCAGAACAUAUACUGCAAAGAAUAUAUCACGACACUGUCAGCUCGUCGCUCU